rnacentral:tRNA from 6 species
ACGGGAGUAGCUCAGUUGGUAGAGCACCGGUCUCCAAAACCGGGUGUCGGGAGUUCGAACCUCUCCUCCCGUG